AACUAAGCAACUGUAAACAAAUUGAUAGCAAAUUUAGAUGAAUUUUCCUUUGAUUAAAUGGUUCCUUUUUGUCACUUAACAGGAAUGGAGUUUGGGGUCUCAAUACUUGUUGAUCUUUACCAUGUAUCAUGUGUCUUCUGCUGAUAGGGUUGAGAAAUCUACUAGGCUCCAAAACUUGUCAUGGAUUAGUGUCCAUGAAUCAUGCUUAAAUGUGUUAGUAUCCCUUGUCAACAUCUUAAAGUCUUUUGCUUCCUCUUUUCUAGCAAAGCCACCAUUUUGGGAAGGAAA
rnacentral:lncRNA from 1 species